UACGAAGGGUGCAAACGUUACUCGAAAUCAUUGAGCGUAAAGCGCACAUAAACAACUUCGCAAGUCGAAUGUAAAAUCCCUCAACUCAACCGAAAACAUGCAUCCGAAACUACGGAACUUGAAUAUAAAAAAGGAUCGCGGAAUUCCCAGUAUAAAGGUGAAAUUCAUAGAUAUCGAAAGGAACACCAAUGACAAAAACAACGACCUAAACCAAUACUAACGCUAAAAUACAAAAACGUAGAGAACAAACAGG
rnacentral:rRNA from 1 species